UACAGAGGUCUCAAGCGUUGUUCGGAUUCAUUGGGCGUAAAGGGUGCGUAGGCGGCGCGGUAAGUCGGGUGUGAAAUCUUGGAGCUUAACUCCGAAACUGCAUUCGAUACUGCCGUGCUUGAGGACUGGAGAGGAGACUGGAAUUUACGGUGUAGCGGUGAAAUGCGCAGAUAUCAGGAGGAACACCCGUGGCGAAAGCGGCUCUCUGGGACGGUACUGACGCUGAGACGCGAAAGCGUGGGGAGCAAACAGG
rnacentral:rRNA from 1 species